rnacentral:rRNA from 1 species
UGUAGUUUGAUCCUGGCUCAGAUUGACGCUGGCGGCAUGCCUUACACAUGCAAGUCGAACGGCAGCGCGGGGGUAACCCUGGCGGCGAGUGGCGAACGGGUGAGUAAUACAUCGGAACGUGUCCUGUAGUGGGGGAUAGCCCGGCGAAAGCCGGAUUAAUACCGCAUACGCUCUACGGAGGAAAGGGGGGGAUCUUAGGACCUCUCGCUACAGGGGCGGCCGAUGGCAGAUUAGCUAGUUGGUGGGGUAAAGGCCUACCAAGGCGACGAUCUGUAGCUGGUCUGAGAGGACGACCAGCCACACUGGGACUGAGACACGGCCCAGACUCCUACGGGAGGCAGCAGUGGGGAAUUUUGGACAAUGGGGGAAACCCUGAUCCAGCAAUGCCGCGUGUGUGAAGAAGGCCUUCGGGUUGUAAAGCACUUUUGUCCGGAAAGAAAACAUAUGCACUAAUACUGUGUGUGGAUGACGGUACCGGAAGAAUAAGCACCG